rnacentral:rRNA from 1 species
CAAACGCUGGCGGCGUGCCUAACACAUGCAAGUCGAACGAAGCACGAUGGAAAGAGACUCGGUCAAUGGAAAUCGUGACUUAGUGGCGGACGGGUGAGUAAUGCAUGAGCAACCUGCCCUGGAGAGGGGGACAACAGCUGGAAACGGCUGCUAAUACCGCAUAAUGUCGUUGGAGGGCAUCCUUUGACGACCAAAGAUUUAUCGCUCUGGGAUGGGCUCAUGUCUGAUUAGUUAGUUGGCGGGGCAACGGCCCACCAAGACUACGAUCAGUAGCCGGACUGAGAGGUUGAACGGCCACAUUGGGACUGAGAUACGGCCCAGACUCCUACGGGAGGCAGCAGUGGGGAAUAUUGGGCAAUGGGCGCAAGCCUGAACCCCAGCAACGCCGCGUGAAGGAAGAAGGCUUUCGGGUUGUAAACUUCUUUUAUCAGGGACGAAGGAUGUGACGGUACCUGAUGAAUAAGCCACGGCUAACUACGUGCCAGCCGCUGC